GACUGCUAAUAAAAAGGCUCUGGAUAAAGCAAGAGGUCAAACAAGAAUCAACAUCGGAGUAGCAUUUGAGCGGUGGAGACAACUGAGGGAUCUGAAGGGCCUGAACAGUGAUGCCGAGGUUGCUCUCUUUCUGUUGGACAGCCAUGAGAAGGACCGAUCAACUUCGACACCGUCUAAACACGGAUUGAUGAGACCUACUCUCCCUCCAGUUCAACUAUUGUUUCUGAGUCUCUGUCCGACCGAGAUGAUGACGUGAUGAGAUGAUGUUAAUUCUUCAACUGGUUUGGGCAGACAUCUGUCCCUCCCCCAGCCCAGCCAUUACUGCAGCUACCCCCCUCGUUGACACCUCUAGUAUGCUACCCCCACUAAGCUCAAAAGCAUACAGCUUUUGCAGACCCAACUCAGCAGAGGC